GAUAUCUUAAAUAAAAAACUGUAAAUUAAAAUAUUGAUUGCAGUCCAAUGGGAACCUAAUUUUUCCUUGCAAAAAUCACUUCAAGUGAUUUUCCAUUAUUAACUUACAUCUUUACAAGAAUUGAUUGUAAAAUAUUUUCUUUCAAAACAUUUAAAAGUACUUGUCAAACGAGCUCUAAGUCAAUCUUAACCAACCCCACACCAAAAAUAUAAAAAUAAAAAGAAAACAAAUUAAAGACCGGACCGAAAAUAUUUAUCAAAUCCAGUUGAAAAAACCCCUCAAGUCCACCACACUCUCCCUAGUAGUCCUCGUAAUAGAAGGCUCUACAUAGCGACUCCUGCACACCCUUUCGUUCACCUCCACCGUCCGAUCAUCGCAUUCAAUCACCGUAACCGCUGAUCAAAAGCAACGGCUCCGAUUGCAGUCGGCGAUGUUAUUCCAGACGGCACUCUCGCCUACUUCGACGAGGAAGACAAGGUCCAAUCCGUCAACAUCCACUGCCUCGCCGCCGGCAAAAAAGUCAUCCUCUUCGGCGUCCCCGGUGCCUUCACCCCCACUUGCAGGAAAAUGUAUAACAAAUGAGCCCCGCAUUGGUAAAGUUGCUUGCUUCGGUGUGAAUUUGUUACUUGUGAAGUGGACGGUUUAGAUUGGUGACUGGUUUGAAUCGGACGGUUGUAGAUAUUUGGAUUCUUUUCCGAUGAUUAUUAGUUAUUUUUCUGAGAAAUUGAGGUUCUUGUUUUUGCUGUGGUUGUACAGUUUGAAGCAUGUGCCUCGAUUCAUUGACAAAGCAGAGGUACUUAAAUCAAAGGGUGUUGAGAAAAUUCUCUGCCUUAGCGGUAUUACUUCUCACUUAACUGCAUUUUCUGUUAAUUUCAGUUUACUUGCAGCAAUUAUGGUAUCGCAUUUAGUUGAAGUUUUCAAGGUUAAUUCCUUGAAUUUGAUUGAGGCGUGAGUUCGUGGACUAACCCGAAAACCGCUUUGCCCUUUAGUUCAGUUGAUCACGGAUUGUACAUGUUGUUGUGGCCGAAUUUGCUGGAUUAUAGAUUCAUCAUAUAGUAAAUGUCGAUAUGUUUGUCACGAGUUUUAUGCCGGAUUUAAUAAUUUGAGGUUAAUGCUGAGUUUAGCGAUUCCUUUAAGGUCAUAGAACUUACAUUGAGUAUGGCAAAUGCUUCCUGUGUAUGCUGUUGUAACUUGUAAUGACUAGUUAAGUGCUCCUAGAUAUUGGUAGAUGGUCCUCUGUUGGGAUCAAACGUCGAUUGCAUUUCUUAUCGUUUGAGUCAAGAAUCUACCGCAGACUUGCGGUUUGCUUUUUCUUAUUUCAUCCACAUUGGACACUAACACACCUUCAUAUUAGUUGGUCUUGCAAUCACUCUCCCGUUGUCGCUAUGCAUUGCUGGUUUAUUGCUGUUACUCGAUGGGGUGUUGUCGCAGAGGCUACUAAUGAGCUCACGAAUGAUAGCUUUGUAUGUCUAUCAACCGCUCAUGAGAAUGCGAUGCGAAUUUGUUUACCGAACUCUUUUAUUUUCAAGCUUACUUGUGGUGAAGGAUCCCUUUGUGAUGAAGGCUUGGGCUUGAACAUAGCCCAAGAACAAAGAUGUUCUUUUCCUUGCUGAUGGCUCAGCAAAAUACACCCAUGAUCUCGGCCUUGAGCUAGACCUUUCAGAGAAAGGGCUGGGAACUCGUUCUAAGAGGUGUGCUCUCUUGAUCGAAGACCUCAAGGUGAAGGCUGCAAACAUCGAGAGUGGGGGCGAAUUUACCAUCUCCAGCGCCGAUGACAUCCUCAAGGCUCAUUGAAUAUUUACAUUCCCUCACCCCAAGCUUGCUGCUUCUUGUAUCUGAGAUUUGAGCCUCCCCUUCUGUAUUGUCUCCAGCCUUUUUAGUCUGGUGGCAUUUUAUGUCUACGUGGAUCUUCAAAUCUUCUGUUUAGUAGUUUGUGCACUGAAAACGACAAUGCGUUUAGACAAAGAAAUUUAAAAUUACUAAAGAAUUUUAUUUUCCAGGA